CCUACGGGCGGCAGCAGUGAGGAAUAUUGGUCAAUGGACGAGAGUCUGAACCAGCCAAGUAGCGUGAAGGAUGACUGCCCUAUGGGUUGUAAACUUCUUUUAUAUGGGAAUAAAAUGUUCCACGUGUGGGAUUUUGUAUGUACCAUAUGAAUAAGGAUCGGCUAACUCCGUGCCAGCAGCCGCGGUAAUACGGAGGAUCCGAGCGUUAUCCGGAUUUAUUGGGUUUAAAGGGAGCGUAGGUGGAUUGUUAAGUCAGUUGUGAAAGUUUGCGGCUCAACCGUAAAAUUGCAGUUGAAACUGGCAGUCUUGAGUACAGUAGAGGUGGGCGGAAUUCGUGGUGUAGCGGUGAAAUGCUUAGAUAUCACGAAGAACUCCGAUUGCGAAGGCAGUUCACUGGACUGCAACUGACUCUGAGGCUCGAAAGUGUGGGUAUCAAACAGGAUUAGAUACCCUUGUAGUC
rnacentral:rRNA from 1 species